AAGAAAACCCAAACAAAAUUAAAACACACAUGAUAAACAAAUUAUACAAAAACCAAACAAAGAGGAUUCUAGAAUCAGUGAGACACCGACCCUUACACCCAAUCAAUUCCUUUGUUUUUUCCCCCAACCCAAAAAUAUCUAUCAAUGUUCAAAACUGACAAUUUCACAAAACCAAGAAGGAGCGUCCAAAAAAGAUAGAUCAAACGUCAAAAGAAAGAAACUCAUUUCCCUCAUUCUUCAAACGUUCCCUUCUCAAUCAAUCCAGUUCUAUCGACUCCCCAUCGUUGUCUUGGGAUCCACAGACGAAAAUGCUUUCCCCUCCAGGGACUAAAUUGACGGCAAAAGGAAAUUUGAGGGCAAAAAGUAUGAAUUUAAAGACAAAACGAGUCAACAUGCGAAAUAGGAAAGAAGUGGUGCCAAAAAUACAAAGUGUGAAAGACUUGGGAAAAAAAUUCAAAGAAGAGAUUUAUGAACAUAAGACUUUAUUUAAAUUUGAAUUUUAUUUUUAGGAUUUAGGAUUAUUAUGAUAUUGUUUAGAUUUAAUUUCAAAUUAUAUCUUUUAUUAUCUUCUAGUGUUUAAAUAGGAACAAAAUAUGUUUUUAUGUAUUAUAAAUAAGGGAUAGAGUGACAUGAAUAUUCAUUCA